GUGCGCGGCGCAGCGCGCGGCGUCAGUCUUGGCUGGGAGACCUGUACUCCGUACUCCGUACUCCGUAGUCGCAGCGGCGCGGUCUUCGGCAGUCUAGUCAUCCACCGCCAUCCUGGGCCCCACAUGUUGCCUGACCAUUCCUGAGCCCAGGUGGGAGCGGUGGCUGAGGUGACGGUCUCAAAGUGGAAGAGCUUACUGUCACAGCAACUCCUUUGCAAGAUGCCCCGGCCAGGAAUAGUUGCUGAACACCCCAGGAUGCUGAGGUCCCUCCUUGAGUCUCAUGUUCAAGCAGUCUUGUGAGUAAAGCACUGGCUACCCCUUUUCACUUACUAUCUUUUCAAGCAUGUUCUACCACCUUGGAAGGUAAGAGGUUAGUACCUUCUUCCAGAGCAGAGGGCAGGCAUUCUUGCUGUGCGUUGUGAAAGGGUAGAGUCCUGCGCUCCCUUCUUGUAGUAGUCCAAUGGCUCAUGCAGGUGCCUCUGACUCCCCUAUGGGAACUGGGGCUUGGGAGGGUGGUGGAAAAUGCUGAUGCUCUGGCUAUUGCUAUUGUUUUGACUAAUCAGUGGUCCCUUGUCCCUAAUCGAGGAAUUUUGUAUUUUCUACCAGUGUCCAUGAAACUGGGAGGUGACCGUGUUAGCUGCCAGUUCCUGACAGCCACCUCUCACCAGUGGCUUCACUCUGUGUCCCUGACCCAGCACAUGGCACAAGAGUGCCUGCCAUCCCUCAGUGUUUCUACAGCAGCAAUCCCGAGAUGCUGGAGCUAGAGGGGACCUGACCUGAGAGAAGAUACCUUCAGUGGCUGCCAGGCUGUUCCUUGGAACCUGUGCAGGGGUAAGUGUGCAGGAAGGUCUGACCUGGCAAGUCACUUCACUCCUGUUUUAUUUAGUCACCUGGCUAAGGAAAAGUUCAAAAACCGUCACCUUAUUUUGACCUUCCCAUAUGGUAAGUCAGGUGAUUGAAUCCCAGAAAGGUUCAUUGUCUUCAAGCUCACAAUACUAUUUUGGGACAAACAGUUGUCUAGUGUUUGGACUCAUGAACCCUGAUUCUUGAGGU
rnacentral:lncRNA from 1 species